rnacentral:rRNA from 1 species
AUUGAACGCUAGCGGGAUGCUUUACACAUGCAAGUCGAACGAGUGGCGGACGGGUGAGUAAUAUAUCGGAACGUGACCAGUAGGGGGGGAUAACUAUUCGAAAGAGUCGCUAACACCGCAUCCUAAUGGAGCGCCCGAUAUCGGAUUAGCUAGUUGGGGGGGGAAAGGCUCACCAAGGCAACGAUCCGUAGCUGGUUUGAGAGGAUGACCAGCCACACUGGGACUGAGACACGGCCCAGACUCCUACGGGAGGCAGCAGUGGGGAAUUUUGGACAAUGGGGGAAACCCUGAUCCAGCAAUCCCGCGUGUAUGAGAAGGCCUUCGGGUUGUAAAGUACUUUUGGCAGAGAAGCGGUAUCUGCAGAAUAAGCACCGGCUAACUACGUGCCAGCAGCCGCGGUAAUAC